AACACUGUUAACCUGCGGUACCUGCGGAAGGAUCAUUAUUGAGUAAACUUGGUCAAGCUGUUGCUGGUCCUUCGGGACAUGUGCACGCUUGCCACCAAUUUUAACCACCUGUGCACUUUUUGUAGACUUGGAAACGUUUCUCGAGGCAACUCGGAUUGAGAACUGCUGGCGCAAGUCGGCUUUUCUUAUGUUUUCUCAGUCUAUGUUUUCAUAUACACCUAAUGUAUGUAUCAGAAUGUA
rnacentral:misc_RNA from 1 species